GACGAACGCUGGCGGCGUGCUUAACACAUGCAAGUCGAACGGAAAGGCCCUGCUUUUGUGGGGUGCUCGAGUGGUGAACGGGUGAGUAACACGUGAGUAACCUGCCCUUGACUUUGGGAUAACUUCAGGAAACUGGGGCUAAUACCGGAUAGGAGCUCCUGCUGCAUGGUGGGGGUUGGAAAGUUUCGGCGGUUGGGGAUGGACUCGCGGCUUAUCAGCUUGUUGGUGGGGUAGUGGCUUACCAAGGCUUUGACGGGUAGCCGGCCUGAGAGGGUGACCGGCCAAAUUGGGACUGAGAUACGGCCCAGAAUCCUACGGGAGGCAGCAGUGGGGAAUAUUGCACAAUGGGCGGAAGCCUGAUGCAGCAACGCCGCGUGCGGGAUGACGGCCUUCGGGUUGUAAACCGCUUUCGCCUGUGACGAAGCGUGAGUGACGGUAAUGGGUAAAGAAGCACCGGCUAACUACGUG
rnacentral:rRNA from 1 species